AGCGAACGCUGGCGGCAGGCCUAACACAUGCAAGUCGAACGGAUCCUUCGGGAUUAGUGGCGGACGGGUGAGUAACCCGUGGGAACGUGCCCUUUGGUUCGGCACAACCCAGGGAAACUUGAGCUAAUACCGGAUGUGCCCUUCGGGGGAAAGAUUUAUCGCCAUUGGAGCGACCCGCGUCUGAUUAGCUAGUUGGUGAGGUAACGGCUCACCAAGGCGACGAUCAGUAGCUGGUCUGAGAGGAUGAUCAGCGACACUGGGACUGAGACACGGCCCAGACUCUUACGGGAGGCAGCAGUGGGGAAUCUUGCGCAAUGGGCGAAAGCCUGACGCAGCCAUGCCGCGUGAAUGAUGAAGGUAUUAGGAUUGUAAAAUUCUUUCAGCGGGGACGAUAAUGACGGUACCCGAAGAAGAAGCUCCGGCUAACUUCGUG
rnacentral:rRNA from 1 species